rnacentral:antisense_RNA from 1 species
CUUGAGGGAGCCGAGCCGCAGCGGUCGGUCCGGCGCCCGGUCCUUGCCGUAGACGGCCAGGAGGGCCUGGGCCUC